rnacentral:rRNA from 1 species
UUAAACUGAAGAGUUUGAUCAUGGCUCAGAUUGAACGCUGGCGGCAGGCCUAACACAUGCAAGUCGAGCGGUAACAGGCCCUUCGGGGUGCUGACGAGCGGCGGACGGGUGAGUAAUGCAUAGGAAUCU